GCGUGCAUGGCCACGCAGUCAUGGGUGAACAGGGAGUACAGGAGAGGGCUGAGAACGCACCCUCUCUGUCUGAGCCGUUCAAUUGCGACUCUACCUUGUCUCUAUACUGACGCUGAGUUUGUUUAAAUGCCUUGCAGAGGGAAUAGCUACACUGUUUGUAUUCGGUCAUGUUUCCGGUUGCCCUGAUUAAAAGCAGUGGUUGCUCUUUCAAUCCAUGUUCAUUGUACAGUAUGUGUUUUUGAGCUUUGACAUGAUUGAUGUAUGUCCAUUUUAAAGUGGUUAAAAUUCAUACAUAAGUUGAUGACGUUAGCCACAACAAAUUGGAAUUCAUAACAUAAUAUAUGUUUUGCAAAUUUUUGAAAACACAUUGUACAAAUUGCAAUUCCCAACAUAUUUUCAAAAUUACAAUUCGUAACAUAUCAUACAAAUUGUAAUUCAUAACAUAUCAUUAAACAUGGAUGAUGGUCUUCCACAAAUGAAUACAUAAAAUACGAAAUGUAACAUAUAAUUUUCAAUGGAGUGUCUCGGGUGUACGUAUAGAAUAAUACGAAAUGAUCUGAGACCACAUUUCCCCCUCACAAAAAACAGUGGCACUUGACAUUCCCCCGUGCUUGCAUUGACUUUGCUGACAGCUACUUUGAGGGAAAAAUGUACUUAGUGAGAUAUGUGAUUGUCCCACCUAGCUAUCUUAAGAUGAAUUCAGUAACUGAAAGUUGCUCUGGAUAAGAGCAUCUGCUAAAUGACUAAAAUGGACAUGUAAAAUGUCUAGCUAAUCAUAGGAUUUAGCCAGCUUGCUUUCAAUAAUGUUUCAACUCGAACUGGCAAGCUAACGUUAGUUAGCUAGCCAACUCCUUUCUACUCGGACAAAGAUAUGAUAACUAACCCGGGUUUGCAAGCUAGCAUUUGGGGGCUUCGUCUGCUAACUCAAAACAACAUGCUUGUUCUCAUUAAAGUUUAUUGCAUAUUUUCUAGGGCAGAAAUAAAUGAAGGAUGGUAGUUGUCUACUACAAUUAUAGCUAUUGCUCUGGCAGCAAAUAGCAAAACGUAUCAGCAACCAUUCAGCAAUGUACACAGAUGGUUGCAUAGUAACAGCAUCAGCGUUACCUGCCUGAAUCUAUUCUGUAGGUACAGUACCUCUAUUAGCAUAUACAUUACUUCUAAACUAGAUAAAGUUAUUUUCUCACUAUAUUUCUUCAGUGUUGAUAUUUUAUUUAAUUCCCAGGUUACGUACAAAACCUGGUGGAUUUGUUGUUCAGCAGUGUCGUGGGAAGCCCCCACCAAAUCGCGAGAUGUUACAGAAGGCUGAGGCAGUGGCCAGACACUAGUCCUGCUUCAGAGUAAUGGAGGACACUUGAAUCAGGAGCUGGGUCAGAUAUAGGGGCCAAGGUCGGGCUUAUUAUUACCAGUAUCUGUGACGAGAAGGGACUGGAGCUGAUCUAUGCUGCCAUGCCCGUCAGGCGUUGGCAAACACCACCGAAGGGACAAAAGAUGGGCAGAAGAGAUAGUUUUGAAAUGGAAUCCACUGACUGAAAGAAAGGUUGAUACUGAUGUCUGAAUUAGGAGAGACCUUGUACUCAGUAUUAAAAUGAUACAAGA